rnacentral:rRNA from 1 species
AGCGAACGCUGGCGGCAGGCCUAACACAUGCCAGUCGAACGAACUCUUCGGAGUUAGUGGCGGACGGGUGAGUAACACGUGGGAACGUGCCUUUUGGUUCGGAAUAACUCAGGGAAACUUGUGCUAAUACCGAAUGUGCCCUUCGGGGGAAAGAUUUAUCGCCAUUAGAGCGGCCCGCGUCUGAUUAGCUAGUUGGUGAGGUAACGGCUCACCAAGGCGACGAUCAGUAGCUGGUCUGAGAGGAUGACCGGCCACACUGGGACUGAGACACGGCCCAGACUCCUACGGGAGGCAGCAGUGGGGAAUCUUGCGCAAUGGGCGAAAGCCUGACGCAGCCAUGCCGCGUGAAUGAUGAAGGUCUUAGGAUUGUAAAAUUCUUUCACCGGGGACGAUAAUGACGGUACCCGGAGAAGAAGCCCCGGCUAACUUCGUG